rnacentral:rRNA from 1 species
CCAGACUCCUACGGGAGGCAGCAGUGGGGAAUAUUGCACAAUGGGGGAAACCCUGAUGCAGCGACGCCGCGUGAGUGAAGAAGUCAUUCGUGAUGUAAAGCUCUAUCAGCAGGGAAGAAAAUGACGGUACCUGACCAAGAAGCCCCGGCUAACUACGUGCCAGCAGCCGCGGUAAUACGUAGGGGGCAAGCGUUAUCCGGAUUUACUGGGUGUAAAGGGAGCGUAGGUGGCAGGGCAAGUCAGAUGUGAAAACCCGGGGCUCAACUCCGGGAUUGCAUUUGAAACUGUCCGGCUGGAGUGCAGGAGAGGUAAGUGGAAUUCCUAGUGUAGCGGUGAAAUGCAUAGAUAUUAGGAGGAACCCCAGUGGCGAAGGCGGCUUACUGGACUGUAACUGACACUGAGGCUCGAAAGCGUGGGGAGCAAACAGGAUUAGAUACCCCAGUAAC